UUGGAGGGCAAGUCUGGUGCCAGCAGCCGCGGUAAUUCCAGCUCCAAUAGCGUAUAUUAAAGUUGUUGCAGUUAAAAAGCUCGUAGUUGAAUUUCGGGAUUGGCGCAUCGGUCAUGCCUUCCGACUUACGGAGUUAUGAACUGGUGCAGUCAAUUUCUCACCUUCUGGAGAACCGCGAUGUCCUUAAUUGGGUGCCGCGGGGAACCAGGACCUUUACUUUGAAAAAUUGAGUGUUUAAAGCAGGCAUUUUUGCUUGAAUACAUUAGCAUGGAAUAUAAAAUAGGACGGCAUGGUUCUAUUUUGUGGUCUCUAGGACCACCGUAAUGAUUAAUAGGGAUAGUUGGGGGCAUUAGUAUUC
rnacentral:rRNA from 1 species